AUGAAAGCUAUCAAAAUUGAAAAGAAAGAAAGGUUGGAGAGGGUACAGCUAAAGAGAUGACAAAGGGAAAGACAAAAGGUUCAUGAGAGGAGAGAUACUUUAAUAUAGGUCUUUUUCUCACCAGAUAAAAAUCAUUAAUGACAGUGUGGAUUACCAAAAUAGCUAUGAAAAUUGCGUAAAAGAGAAGUUGUUAUUGCAAAUAUGCCCCUCCUGUUGAAGAUCUUUUGGGGUUUUGUGAUUCAAUUUGCACUCAAACCCAACAAAAAUAAUGGGUGGAUGGUGCAGCAGCUGCAAAUGCAAGCAUGGGCAAGGCUCAAAACAGAACAAAGAAAAUAAAAGGGACAAAAGGAAUUUGACUUCAUUGUUCAAGUUGGUAAAGAUGCAUAAUUUGUGAUGCCAAUGUUAUCAUCAGGUG
rnacentral:misc_RNA from 1 species